AGCGAACGCUGGCGGCAGGCCUAACACAUGCAAGUCGAACGGAGCCUUCGGGAUUAUUGGCGGACGGGUGAUUAACACGUGGGAACGUGCCCUUUGGUUCGGAACAACUCACGUAAACUUGAGCUAAUACCGGAUGUGCCCUUCGGUGGAAAGAUUUAUCGCCAUUGGAGCGGCCCGCGUCUGAUUAGCUAGUUGGUGAGGUAAAGGCCCACCAAGGCGACGAUCAGUAGCUGGUCUGAGAGGAUGAUCAGCCACACUGGGACUGAGACACGGCCCAGACUCCUACGGGAGGCAGCAGUGGGGAAUCUUGCGCAAUGGGCGAAAGACUGACGCAGCCAUGCCGCGUGAAUGAUGAAGGUCUUAGGAUUGUAAAAUUCUUUCAGCGGGGACGAUAAUGACGGUACCCGCAGAAGAAGCUCCGGCUAACUUCGUG
rnacentral:rRNA from 1 species